UACGGGGGGAGCAAGCGUUGUUCGGAUUUACUGGGCGUAAAGGGCGCGUAGGCGGCCAGCACAAGUCAGUUGUGAAAUCUCCGAGCUUAACUCGGAAAGGUCAACUGAUACUGUGCGGCUAGAGUGGCGGAAGGGGCAACUGGAAUUCUUGGUGUAGCGGUGAAAUGCGUAGAUAUUGGGAGGAACACCGGUGGCGAAGGCGGGUUCUCUGGGCAUGUCCUGACGCUGGAGGAGCGAAAGUGUGGGGAGCGAAACAGG
rnacentral:rRNA from 1 species